UUUAAAAACGGUUUUAAACCGUUUCUAAUUUGAAACGGUUCUAAACCGUUUUAAAAUUUGUAACUAUGUUAAUGGCCAACAUUGCUAUUUCCACUUUUUUGUUGGUGUGUCCCACUUAAGUUUUGGAUAUUCCUAAUCUCUUGAAUUUUAUAUUAUUAUUAUAUUUUAAAAUAGAUAGACGGCGUGGAUUUGAUUAAGAGCUUCUCGGUGGACCCCACAUUGCCCUAACGGCUCAGUAAUAUCUACGUGCCCCAGCCCACGGAAUCCAUUUUUUCCCAUUUGUUGAGCUGAAAACACCCUAACCCUCAUAUUCUCUCUCUCUCUCUCUCUCUCUCUACUUUUAUCUUGCCAUCUCUCUCUCUCUCUCUUUCUCUCUCUCCCUCUCUCUCUCUCUCGCACUCACAUUCUCUUUUCGUCUCUCUCAUGAUCUACAACCCUCCGGCAGUGGGAUGAUAGUGGCACGCUUCCCCCAACUUUGAAAUUUCAUAGAUAACUGGAGUGUGAAGGCCAUUAGGAGGAAGACAACUGGAACGGGAAGGAUGAGGUAUUUACGUCAUGUGCCUCGAAGGUUCAAGAGCAAUUUCAGAGACGGAAACCAACCGUCUUUGCGUCUUCCAUCUUUGGACCCAAGUGUCCCCGAGGAAGACAAUUGCUGCUGCAUAGAGGAAUUACUUUAGUUUUGGGGCAUGUCUAAAGCAUCUUGUUCCUGUAUUUGAGCUGGAUUUUGUGUAAUUUUAUCAAUUAGGUUCUUUUACACUGGAGAUAUUGCUAUCUUCUAUAGAGAAUUAGGGCUGAAAGUUGGGCGGGUUCAACCCGACCGACCCGUGACUGACCCGACAUUGGGUUGGGCUUGGGCAGAAUGUAUCGAGUUUGGUCUCGGGCUUGGGCCAUACAAACACCAACCUGAUAAAACUUGAGUUGGUCUCGGGUUGCCCAACCCAACCCAAACCCAAUCAAUAUAUAAGUUCCUUAUAAAUUAAUUAUAAUUGAGUGCGGAUCGUUUGUGUUGAAGGCACAUGAAAUUCCAAUGCCGUUGGGUUUCAUUGGUCCACGUCAUUUCCUAUGACUCAAGCUAACAAGAUAUGCCGGAUUUAUCUCUCCCAAAUAGAUUGCUUGAUACACAAUACAAAUUUUAAAGGAGUAGUGGUCUUAUAUUUUAGCUUGUUUGUUUAGAAAAAAUGAACUUCUUUACGAUAAUUAACUACAUAUAUAAUUAAUAAAAUUAUAGGUACAAAAAUAAGACGUGUAUUGAAAAUAUAAUAGACUAAUGUAAUAAUGAAAAUAUUAGCAUAUAUCUACCUGACCAACCCGGCCGAGCCCGCUUGGGUUGGGAUUGGGUUGAGAAUUCCCAACCUGAGGUUGGGUUGGGUUGGGCUAGGGUUGAGCACCAACCUUACCAAACCCACCCGACUUUCAGCCCUAUAGAGAAUGGACUUUUUGACAUCUUAAAUUGCCAAAUAAGCAUGAAGUUUUAGUAUUGGGAUAAACCAUUCAUUCAUAUAAACAUGAAGUUUUGAUGUUGGGAUAAACCAUUCUUUCGUUUUCUGUAUAUUUGCUAGUUGCAUUUUCCAGCUCAAGCAGGAGGAUUUCUGUUGACCCUUUCGAUAGAUCUAAUACCCAAGAAAUCAGAAAGAGGAAAAAUAGGUUUGCUGGUCUUAUGUUGAAUGUUCACGGUCUUGGUAAACCUUCAGUGACGGUUAGUGUCUUACCUAAUAUUUUUUAGAA